CAAUAGCGUAUAUUAAAGCUGUUGCGGUUAAAAAGCUCGUAGUUGGAUUUCUGUCAAGGACAACUGGUCCGCCCCUCGGGUGAGCACAUAGUUUGGUCUUGGCAUCUUGUUGGAAACUGUUGCUGCACUUGGUUGUGUGGCGCAGUGUCCAGCACUUUCACUUUGAGGAAAUUGGAGUGUUUCAAGCAGGCACAUGCCUUUGGACACAGUAGCAUGGAAUAAUUAGAUUGGGCUUUUGCUCCAACUUGUCAGUUUCUGGAGCUGAGGUGAGAAUUAAUGGGGAUUGUUGGGGGCAUCCGAAUUUAGCCGUCAGAGGUGAAAUUCUUGGAUCUGCUAAAGACGGACAACUGCGAAAGCGUUUGCCCAGGAUGUUUUCAUUGA
rnacentral:rRNA from 1 species